rnacentral:hammerhead_ribozyme from 1 species
AUCCAUCUGAUGAGUUCCAAAUAGGACGAAAUGCGCAUCCUGACUGGAU